UAGGGUGUGGCUCAGUGGCAGAGCACUUGCCUAACAGGCAUGAGGCUCUGGGUUCUGCCCCAGCACAGUAA
rnacentral:tRNA from 1 species